GCAGAAUGCCAACCCAGGGCAAAAAGAAGCCAUGCAGAGAAUGCCCUUCCAAAGGCAACAAGGCCGAAGGGAGGGCAGCAGCAAGCUAGGGCCUGCACUUCAGAUGAGCAACAGAAACCUGUCCAGGAAGGUUCCUGUGGGGAUGCUGGAGAUGAGGAUGAAAAGGAGAAGCUGAAAACCUGAGCUACAGGAGUGAGACAGGAGAAACUGUAUACAGCCCCGCUCUCUUAAAAUGUGGACAUUUGAUCUUCUAAGAUAAGACUUUUUGAGCCACAAGCUACUCUUCUGAUUGGAUGUAGAACAAAACAUAGCAAGUCAUCGUCCACGUUCUUUCUAAACUUUGCAUCGUUGAAUGAAGAGGCCCUAUCUAAUAAGCUGUAGAACUGAACACUCCUCUUCAGUUUGAGAGGCUGUUCAAGGUAAAAGAGAGGGAAAA
rnacentral:lncRNA from 10 species